rnacentral:rRNA from 1 species
GACGAACGCUGGCGGCGUGCUUAACACAUGCAAGUCGAACGGAAAGGCCCUGCUUUUGUGGGGUGCUCGAGUGGCGAACGGGUGAGUCACACGUGAGUAACCUUCCCUUGACUUUGGGAUAACUUCAGGAAACUGGGGCUAAUACCGGAUAGGAGCUCCUGCUGCAUGGUGGGGGUUGGAAAGUUUCGGCGGUUGGGGAUGGACUCGCGGCUUAUCAGCUUGUUGGUGGGGUAGUGGCUUACCAAGGCUUUGACGGGUAGCCGGCCUGAGAGGGUGACCGGCCACAUUGGGACUGAGAUACGGCCCAGACUCCUACGGGAGGAAGCAGUGGGGAAUAUUGCACAAUGGGCGGAAGACUGAUGCAGCAACGCCGCGUGCGGGAUGAAGGACUUCGGGUUGUAAACCGCUUUCGCCUGUGACGAAGCGUGAGUGACGGUAAUGGGUAAAGAAGCACCGGCUAACUACGUG